rnacentral:rRNA from 1 species
AACUGGCAGGCUAGAGUCUUGUAGAGGGGGGUAGAAUUUCAGGUGUAGCGGUGAAAUGCGUAGAGAUCUGAAGGAAUACCAGUGGCGAAGGCGGCCCCCUGGACAAAGACUGACGCCCAGAUGCGAAAGCGUGGGUAGCAAACAGGAUUAGAUACCCUGGUAGUCCACGCCGUAAACGCUGUCUACUUGGAGGUUGAGGUUUUAGACUUUGGCUUUCGGCGCUAACGCAUUAAGUAGACCGCCUGGGGAGUACGGCCGCAAGGUUAAAACUCAAAUGAAUUGACGGGGGCCCGCACAAGCGGUGGAGCAUGUGGUUUAAUUCGAUGCAACGCGAAGAACCUUACCUACUCUUGACAUCCAGCGAAGCCUUUAGAGAUAGAGGCGUGCCUUCGGGAGCGCUGAGACAGGUGCUGCAUGGCUGUCGUCAGCUCGUGUUGUGAAAUGUUGGGUUAAGUCCCGCAACGAGCGCAACCCUUAUCCUUGUUUGCCAGCACGUAAUGGUGGGAACUCCAGGGAGACUGCCGGUGAUAAACCGGAGGAAGGUGGGGACGACGUCAAGUCAUCAUGGCCCUUACGAGUAGGGCUACACACGUGCUACAAUGGCAGAUACAGAGGGCAGCGAGACAGCGAUGUUUAGCGAAUCCCUUAAAGUUUGUCGUAGUCCGGAUUGGAGUCUGCAACUCGACUCCAUGAAGUCGGAAUCGCUAGUAAUCGUGGAUCAGAAUGCCACGGUGAAUACGUUCCCGGGCCUUGUACACACCGCCCGU